GCCUUCGUGGUGUAACGGUAGCACACUCGGCCCGUACUCGAGAGGUUCAGGUUCGAGUCCGGCUAGGGCA
rnacentral:tRNA from 1 species